UACGGGGGGUGCGAGCGUUGUCCGGAAUCACUGGGCGUAAAGGGCGCGUAGGUGGUUUGAUAAGGGUGUGGUGAAAGUCCGGAGCUCAACUCCGGAUCUGCCGUGCCGACUGUCAAACUCGAGGGCUGUAGAGGCAGACGGAAUUCCGGGUGUAGCGGUGGAAUGCGUAGAGAUCCGGAGGAAGACCGGUGGCGAAGGCGGUCUGCUGGGCGAGUUCUGACACUGAGGCGCGACAGCGUGGGGAGCAAACAGG
rnacentral:rRNA from 1 species